AUUUAGGUUUUCUGUUUAGAAAAGAGUGGCUGAUUUUUUUUAAAAAAAAAUCAUCAGAAUUAUGCAAUAGACAACCAAAAGAAGUUUGAAAUAUAAAAAACGAUUUGGAACGUGCACAAAACAGCCACAUGUCUAGAGUUUUUCUAUCCACACGAACAGAGUCUCCCCUAUACAUGCAUAACAUUAAGCAUAAGAACAUUUCAAUCAAGCAAUCAAGUUGUAUUUAAGAAGCGAUAUUUUGAUUCAUAAUAUAACAGAUCAGUCAUACAAGCAUGACUCCCACUAAUAAUAUAAAAUAGUAUAGUGAUAGCAUAUCCCUCCAAAUAUCGCCAACACAAAUCUCUCCAUAUUUGCGCAAUAGAAUAAAUAUAACCUCGCAUAUCUCUGCAAAUAAAAUACAAAAAUC
rnacentral:lncRNA from 1 species